rnacentral:rRNA from 1 species
GUGGGGAAUAUUCCGCAAUGGACGAAAGUCUGACGGAGCAACGCCGCGUGUGUGAUGAAGGUUUUCGGACUGUAAAGCUCUGUUGUUUAGGACGAAAGUGCCUGUUGCGAAUAGUUACAGGUAUUGACGGUACUGAACGAGGAAGCCACGGCUAACUACGUGCCAGCAGCCGCGGUAAUACGUAGGUGGCAAGCGUUGUCCGGAAUUAUUGGGCGUAAAGAGCAUGUAGGCGGGAAUCUAAGUCUGUUGUGAAAAUGCGGGGCUCAACCCCGUAUUGCGAUGGAAACUGGGUUUCUUGAGUGCAGGAGAGGAAAGGGGAAUUCCCAGUGUAGCGGUGAAAUGCGUAGAUAUUGGGAGGAACACCAGUGGCGAAGGCGCCUUUCUGGACUGUGUCUGACGCUGAGAUGCGAAAGCCAGGGUAGCGAACGGGAUUAGAUACCCUAGUAGUCC